rnacentral:rRNA from 1 species
UACAGAGGUCUCGAGCGUUAGGCGGAAUCACUGGGCUUAAAGCGUGUGUAGGCGGAUCGGUAAGUACCUUGUGAAAUCCCACAGCUUAACUGUGGAACUGCUUGGUAUACUGCCAGUCUUGAGCCAGCUAGGGGCGACCGGAACAAAUGGUGGAGCGGUGAAAUGCGUAGAUAUCAUUUGGAACGCCAAUGGUGAAAACAGGUCGCUGGGGGCUGUGCUGACGCUGAGACACGAAAGCCAGGGGAGCGAACGGG